rnacentral:rRNA from 1 species
AUGAACGCUGGCGGCGUGCCUAAUACAUGCAAGUCAAGCGAACAGAUGAGGAGCUUGCUCCUCUGACGUUAGCGGCGGACGGGUGAGUAACACGUGGAUAACCUACCUAUAAGACUGGGAUAACUUCGGGAAACCGGAGCUAAUACCGGAUAAUAUAUUGAACCGCAUGGUUCAAUAGUGAAAGACGGUUUUGCUGUCACUUAUAGAUGGAUCCGCGCCGCAUUAGCUAGUUGGUAAGGUAACGGCUUACCAAGGCAACGAUGCGUAGCCGACCUGAGAGGGUGAUCGGCCACACUGGAACUGAGACACGGUCCAGACUCCUACGGGAGGCAGCAGUAGGGAAUCUUCCGCAGUGGGCGAAAGCCUGACGGAGCAACGCCGCGUGAGUGAUGAAGGUCUUCGGAUCGUAAAACUCUGUUAUUAGGGAAGAACAAAUGUGUAAGUAACUAUGCACGUCUUGACGGUACCUAAUCAGAAAGCCACGGCUAACUACGUG